rnacentral:tRNA from 1 species
GCCUGGGUGGCUCAGUGGUUGAGCAUCUGCCUUUGGCUCAGGUCGUGAUCCUGGGGUCCUGGGAUCGAGUCCCACAUCGGGCU